UCAAUCCCUUGGUCUCUCUGAUUCCUUAUAUAUCCCGAUACAUUUCUGGGGGCUCAUCAGGAUUGGAGAUGACAGAUUUACUGUCCCCUUUGCCUGCGAUACUAGGUCCCCGGGGCCAGGAGAGACCCGGCAUCCAAGGUGUGCCACAGCUGAGCUUCACCCGGAUAUAUAGACCAGCUCUCCCCACGUCCCAGCACCCUGCCUGGCAGCGCAAUGGAACCGAGGAUGGGGCUGCAGGACGAUACCAGCACUUCAGGAACUGUGGUGGAGAAAAAAGAAAGACCAGCAGAAAAGAAAAAAACUAGGAGAGGAAGUCAGAGGGAAAGAAAGCAAAAACAGCAAGCAUAGAGCCAAACAGCCAGGCAGGCACGCCAAGGGGUCCCUUAAACUACCCAGGAGCAAAGCUGGACUUCCACGAAAAAGGCUCAGUUGGCAGUGUUACCGCUGGUGUAAUCUCUUCUCUGUUCCUGGCUUUUAUUGAGAUGGUUGAUCAUCUUUACACAGUCCUUUGCAUGCAGAUGCAGAAUCUUGCUCCGCUGCCAAGGCUGGAGUGCACUGGUUCAAUCUCGGCUCACUGCAAACUCUGCCUCCCAAGUUCAAGUGAUUCUCCUGUGUCAGUUUCGUUAGGAAUACAGCACUCCAUAUUGUUACCAUAAUAAUGAAACGGAUUCCCAUGGCUACAGCGAUGAAGCAGCAGAAAAAAAAUGGAGAUGCUGUCAAAGAAAAAAGACACAGAUCAGAGAAAGAAGCAUAAAAGGUGUUUAAGAAAUAAGUAACAUAGCAGGGCGCGGUGGCUCAUGCCUGUAAUCCCUCACGCCUACAAUCCCUCACGCCUGUAAUCUCAGCAGUUUGGGAGGCCGAGGUGGACAGAUUGCUUGCGGUAAGGAGUUUGAGACCAGCGUAGCCAACAUGGCGAAACCCCAUCUCUACGAAAAAUUAGCCAGGCAUGGUGGUGAGUGCCUGUAGUCCCAGCUACUUCGGAGGUGGAGGCCGAAGAAUUGCUUGAGCCUGGAAGGCUGAGAUCUCAGUGAGCCGAGACUGCCACUGCACGGGUGACAGAGCGAGCCUCUGUCUCAAAGAAAGAAAGAGUAUGUACCUGGAUAUGUAUUUUUAAAAUAAUGUAAAGAUUUAAAAAUAGUUCGAAGAACCUAAUUGUAUGGCUUUUGAAGCAACUAGAAGUAUGUUCUUUACAGAUGGUGGGAGUAAUGUUAUAUUAAGUUUGUGUAAGCUAUAACACUUAAGUGUUUAUAAGCAUGUUUAUAAGCUGGUGUUUACAAGCAUGUUUUUAUUUCCGAACAAAAUUCAAAAGAAGUUUGUCUUUGUAAAAAUUCAGAUGUGCACAGUUCUUGUUCCUCUCUGAAGAUAUUGGAAAUGUAUUGCUAAUACUGGUAAUAUAUAACAAUUUUUUUAUGAAUAGAUGACUUAUUUAAUAGUUACGUAUCUAAAUCUGAAUAUUUUCUAUAUAAUUUGUCUAUGGAAACAAAUAUUUAUACAAUUGUUCACAUAUUGCUCUUUUCUUUGUAAUGUUAUUCCUUCUAGGUAUAAAAUAUAGACGUUCUCAAGAAGAUUAGUGUUUGCAAUAGAAAGCUGGGCCAUUUGGCCACACCUGCAAAUGAUUAUUGGUUUUGCGGGAGACUGCAAUCCAUAAAAAAUUACUGGCAGAGUUUGAGAAUUUGUAUAAGAAAACAAAUUUUAUGAGAUGCAAAAUCAAUACUAUUAUACUAAUUUAAAUUUUGUAAUAGCAAAGCUAAUUCUUGUUACUUUUCAGUCUUUCAAUUCACUAAGAUAAUGAGUGUUACGCACUGAACACAUACAAAUGUAUUGCUGUGACUGAAUGAAGAGGACAAAUUAACAAAGCAAUUCCGAGGCCCUGGAAAUUGAUCAAAGGCUAAUAAUCAUUUGUGAACUAUUUAUUCUUGGAAAAACUGCUAGAGAUUCAAGGAAGAGUGCAGCAAAUUUGUAGUAAGUUUACCUAGUGCUGCUCCCGUGCCUUCUGCCCACCCACCACACCCAGCACAGUGAGUAACAGUUGCAGUUUUUACAGCUGGGGGAAAAUCAACAGUGUUUUUUGCCACAAGGACAGACUUGAUUAGCGGUCAGAGGUUGGGGCAUAGUGUAACAGACCACUGCUUUUCAACUGAAAGUGCUGAAUUUUGCAGGAAAUGAAUGAGAAAACCCCAUUUUUUGUUGUUUUUUAUUUUUUUUAGUCUGAGGUGUAGUCUCCUCUGGGGCAAGAACAGUGCCAGCCAUAAAUAUAACAAAAUCCUAAACAUGAGAGUGCAAUAGACCUCAUGACAUUAGCCCUCUACAUAUUCUUUAAAUUUUUUUUUAAAUUGACACAUUGUAAUUGUACAUAUUUAUGGGGUACAACUUGAUGUUCAAUACAUAUAUAUGUUACAUUAAAUAAUCAAAUCAGGGUAUUUAGUGUAUCUGUCUACCUCAUGUAUUUAUCAUUUCUUUGUGGUGAGAACGUUCAAAAGCCUCUGUUCUAGCUAUUUUGUAAUAUGCAAUAUCUUACUGUUAACCAUCAUCACCCUACUAUGCAAUAGAACAGAACUUAUUCCUCCUACCUAACUAUAACUUUGUACCCAUUGACCAAGCUCUCACCCUGUCCCCCUCUUUUUCUCUCCUCCAGUCUCUGUUGACCACUGUUCUGGUGUUUUUCUGGUGAUCGCUCUGCUUCUAUAAUAUCAGCUCUUUUUUGCUUUAUUUCUACAUGAGUGAGAUUAUGUGAUAUUUGUCUUUCUGUAUCUGCCUUAUUUCACUUAACAUGAUGCUCAGCAGGUUCAUCCAUGUUGUAUAAAUGACAGGAUUUUAUUCUUGAUUAUUGAAAAAAAUAUGCAUAUGUGUAGAGGAGACCAGGGUGAUUCCAGUAAAAAGUAAAAGCCCAAGGAGACUUGAGAACUGAUUGCAAAUUUAUGAACACUUCCUUCACCACACACACACACACACACACACACACACACCGCUAGCACAGAGUGGAGCCUCUACUAACUUAAGGUUUUCGAAUAAACCUUUUAAAAUAAUAUAUUGGCUGACAACCAAGCUAUGCAAUUCACAAGGGCAAUCCCUAGGAAAUGGGGCUA
rnacentral:lncRNA from 10 species